GCCGUCGUAGCUUAGUGGUAAAGCACGCCCUUGGUAAGGGCGAGAGCGCGGGUUCAAUCCCCGCCGACGGCUCCA
rnacentral:tRNA from 1 species